rnacentral:rRNA from 1 species
GACGAACGCUGGCGGCGUGGAUUAGGCAUGCAAGUCGGACGGUAGAGCUUUAUCGUAAGAUAGAGUUUGAGAGUGGCGAACGGGUGAGUAACACGUAGGAAUCUACCCUUAAGACGGGGACAACCCAGGGAAACUUGGGCUAAUACCGGAUGAGAGUGCGAGAGAUUGCAUUUAAAAGGAUGGCGAAAGUUGUCGCUUAGGGAUGAGCCUGCGGUCUAUUAGUUAGUUGGUGAGGUAAGAGCUCACCAAGGCGAUGAUAGAUAGGCGGCCUUAACGGGUGGUCGCCCACACUGGGAUUGAGAUACGGCCCAGACUCCUACGGGAGGCAGCAGUCGAGAAUAGUCUACAAUGGCCGGAAGGCUGAUAGUGCGACGCCGCGUGAACGAGGGAGCCCUUCGGGUGUAAAGUUCUUUUAUAUGUGAGCAGUGCUUCUUAUAUUAACAGUAUGGGGAAGAGAUAUUAGCAUAUGAAUAAGCAACGGCUAACUCCGUGCC